UACGUAGGGUGCGAGCGUUAAUCGGAAUUACUGGGCGUAAAGCGUGCGCAGGCGGUUGUGCAAGACAGAUGUGAAAUCCCCGGGCUCAACCUGGGAAUUGCAUUUGUGACUGCACGGCUAGAGUGUGUCAGAGGGGGGUAGAAUUCCAACGUGUAGCAGUGAAAUGCGUAGAGAUGUGGAGGAAUACCGAUGGCGAAGGCAGCCC
rnacentral:rRNA from 1 species